rnacentral:rRNA from 1 species
UACGUAGGGUGCGAGCGUUGUCCGGAAUUAUUGGGCGUAAAGAGCUUGUAGGCGGUUUGUCGCGUCUGCUGUGAAAUCUCAAGGCUCAACCUUGAGCUUGCAGUGGGUACGGGCAGACUAGAGUGUGGUAGGGGAGACUGGAAUUCCUGGUGUAGCGGUGAAAUGCGCAGAUAUCGGGAGGAACACCAAUGGCGAAGGCAGCUCGCUGGGACGGUACUGACGCUGAGACGCGAAAAGCGUGGGGAGCAAACAGG